UGGGGAAUUUUGGACAAUGGGCGAAAGCCUGAUCCAGCAAUGCCGCGUGUGUGAAGAAGGCCUUCGGGUUGUAAAGCACUUUUGUCCGGAAAGAAAUCCUUGGCUCUAAUACAGUCGGGGGAUGACGGUACCGGAAGAAUAAGCACCGGCUAACUACGUGCCAGCAGCCGCGGUAAUACGUAGGGUGCAAGCGUUAAUCGGAAUUACUGGGCGUAAAGCGUGCGCAGGCGGUUUGCUAAGACCGAUNUGAAAUCCCCGGGCUCAACCUGGGAACUGCAUUGGUGACUGGCAGGCUAGAGUAUGGCAGAGGGGGGUAGAAUUCCACGUGUAGCAGUGAAAUGCGUAGAGAUGUGGAGGAAUACCGAUGGCGAAGGCAGCCCCCUGGGCCAAUACUGACGCUCAUGCACGAAAAGCGUGGGGGAGCAAAACAGG
rnacentral:rRNA from 1 species